AGGCCCUUCCCGCGCGGCCGACAGCCAGGGCGAGAGCGGAGGCCGCGCACAGCCAUUUAAAACUGCAUGAAUUAUAAACAAGCCGCCUUGGCCUUCGCCAUAAAUUCUGCUCUUUUUGAGCCUGCAAUUAGUGUUAGGAAGCACCGGAGUCUAAACACAACCAAACACCCUCUGAAGGGCCCAAGUGCCCGAGGUUGCAAAGCUUUAUUUAUUUCUCAUUGCCACCCCCUCCGCGGCCCGAGGUUUGCGACCACAGUCUCCUCCUCCCCCGUCACCGCCGGCGGUACGCAGCCGGCUGGGUUCCCGCUCCGCGAGGGAAGGUCACAAUAGCUGCUCUAUCGGCGGAGGCGCCCGCCUCCCCCCUCUCGGGUCUCGGGAAGGCAGAGAAAGGACGGUGGGGGAGGGGAGCUCGGGCCGGCAAUGGCGCCCCAGGCCCAGGCAGCUCCUUCUCCCGCGGAGGACCUGCAGCGGGAAGAGGCACGUCUGCAGCGGAAGGACACCGCCACUCCAGACCGAGGCUUCUUCCCGGGAGCGGCGCGCGGGCUCCGUGGGGAGCUCACCACGGUCUCGAGGAGGCUGCUCGCUGGCCCCUAGCCGCCGCGCGCUGCUGGAUCGAGGGCGCCCGCAGCAGCGGACCUUCCGGGAGCAGCGGCGCCAUUGUGAGCGCGGCUUCCCACGGGCCCCGCGGCCGGGAAGCCGCACAAAGGCGGCAAGGCGUCCGACACCCGCAGUCAUGACUCUGCUACUCUAUGGACUGUAGCCUCGCAGACUCCUCUGUCCAUGGGAUUUCCCAGGCAAGAAUAUUGGAGUGGGUUGCCAUUUCCUCCUCCAGGGCAACGAUGCCAUCUCCGUCGCCGGCAAAAACACACAAAGGAGGCCCCCACCCAGGCUCGAACCUGGGGGCACACUGGAGAGAGGGCUGGCGUGGACCCCGAGUCGGAGAGCCUCCCACCCCCACGGGGAGCAAUAGCUGCCGCCUCCCCGGGGCAGUGGGGCGGUCGCGCCGCACAAAGGCCGGCUCGGCUAGCGCCAUGUGACGCGCGCUCGACCCGCUCUCCCGGCGGCGCGGCGGACGGGUGCGUGUUCCGACCCACCUGAACACUUUCCGAAAGACAAACGCGGUUCCUCCUACUUCGGAGCAAGUCCGGGCCAGCUGGGAUCCGACCAGAAACCGCAAGCGGAGGAGACGCGGGUACGCAGGCUGAGGGUAACGGAGGGCGCGACCUGCCGCCCCGCGCUCUGCCGCGCCAGGCCCGAGGGUAGCGCCUCCCGGUCCUCCCCGCGCCAGGGACGGCAGCCGCCCAGCAGCCCCGCCCGUGGGCCAGGCAGGGCGCCGGGUGCCCGGAGCGUCCCGGCCCCACCUCCACGCCCCACCUCCGCGCACUUCCCGCUUGCCCCAGUGACACCCUUCACCGCUGCUGUCCCCCCAGUAAGGGACAAACCCGUCUCUGAGGGCAGGACGAGAGAAAACCUCAAUAGGUGGAAAGGUUCUUGCAAAUACUUUUAUUUAAGAGUUUUAUAAAGGAUGUCCCAAAGGAUCAGAAUUCAGGGGAGACGCUGAACGAGUUCUCUCAUUGACCUUCAGGACUAUUUCCUAUUUGUAUGGGAGGAAAGAGGUUAAUAACCCCUGUUGAACUUGGAACUAAACUUGAAUGCAAUUUAAAAUAACCAUUAAAAUACACUUAAAACACUAACCACAAUGAUAUGCCUCUUCUCUUUUUUGUGAUAUGAGGGAAGGCUUGGAGUAGUUGUACUUUAGCUGUUGGGGGUUCAUUUUAGAAACACCGUGAAGGAGCAGACUACAGCUGGGGGCGAGGGGCAGGCUUCAGGCAGAGCUGUUCACAGCAGGAAGGCCUGGGUGAGGGGGUGGGGAAGCACUCUUAUACCCCUCUUGAGUGGCACCCGCUGUCCUUUCGGUCAUAAAUUCUAAGAGAGUUCUGGGCUACCCUCUCUUUUUAAUUUCUGUUCUCAGUGAUAUGAGAUGGGAAGUUUCUCAAGUUAGCAUGUUGUCUCAGCCCACAGUAAAGAGCCCCUGGAGGACAGAAAGUCCCAGCUCUUGCCCUCUCCCCUCAGUCCUCUUCUCUCUCUCUCCUCUUGGGUGGCAAUAGCUUGUUUCUGGAGAAAUGUUCUACUAUCAUUUUCCUCAGAUGGAUGUAAGCUGAAGCCUUAAGACCUCCACAGUGUCCUGAACUCCUCCAGCAGUUAAAAUACUGAACCUCUUGUUCUUGGUUCAGAGUCUUCUCUCUUCAGCAGUGCCUACUGAACAGUUCCUACGUGUACUGUGCUGAGCUCUGGGAUAUAAAAAUUGAGUCACUAAUGGUGUAUGCCCUUCAGUCUGCUGGGGUAGAAAAAGAAUCCUAAGAUUAGUAUGACAGAUGCUAUAACAGAGGUGUGGCCAAAAUGUUCCUGGAAUAAAGGAUCAUAGUGUCAAAAAAGGCUUCUCA
rnacentral:lncRNA from 1 species